UGUGGGAGCGAGCCUGCUCGCGAAGGCUUAAUGUCAGUCAACAUCUGCGUUGCUGACAUACCACUUUCGCGAGCAGGCUCGCUCCCACA
rnacentral:misc_RNA from 2 species